CCAACCAAGUACAAACUUGUACAAGCACAUUCCCUCAAGCAACCUGCAAUUGGCACAUUUACGUGAAGAUACAUCUAUAGGAAGUAUUGCAUUUCAACAGUUAUCAUCAGCACCAUGUGAUAAGAGUCAACCGUCACAGUGUGAAGAACACAACCUACAUUUGAAUAAAUAGAUUUUCUUUCCUCAAAGGUAAAUUCUACAUGUCUGAAAUGAUGGUACAAGAUGUGUAUGAGAGGAUUACAUUGCUCUUCAGCACUUUUGGGUUUUUAAGCUGCAUGUAGCUUCAUAGCUGGAAGCAGUCGCAGCCCUCAUGGCUCUCCAUGUAGGACAUGAUGUGGUUUUCAACAACAGCCCUUGUAUGUAGCAGCAGAAGCAACAUGUUCUUUUCAAAUUAAUGUGGCCUUCUUUUGCUCCUUGCGGUUGUCUUGUGGCUGGUGUUGCGCAAAUUUUGGAUAUGAUCCACCCUGGUCAUUUUGUCUUGGCCUGUUGUGGGUUUGGUGUGGUCUUAUUGUGGUGUGCAGCUAAUUUGUGGGGAUAGUAGUUGGUAGGUGUGAUUGAAGAUUUAGAUCAGCUUUGGGGUGUCAGAUUGGUGGCUUGUUCUGUGGGUCUGUUAUAAUUUUUUAAUUUUUUUAGCCCUGUAUAGUUUUUUGUUUUGUUUUGUUUUGUUUUGUUUUUUUUUUUUUUUUGUACAAGUGCUCUAAAUGAUAGGCGUGACUGUUGCCCUUUUUGUUGGCGUCCGCCUGAAUAGUUGUAUAGAGCAUUUCCACUCAAUAAUCUUGGGUGGUGUGCUUCACCUUUAGAAAAAGAAGAAGAAAGAAUGGGUAUAUAUCAAUAUGGGCAAGAUUUGGAUUUUGAAUAUGUGAUUUAGAUGUGGAUUGAAUAUGCAAUUGAAUGAUUAACAGGUUGAAUGUGGAUUGCAUGUGUAACUGAAUGUAAAUGCGUUGUUGGCAAAUAAUCAAGUCCUUUUUGUUGCUUUAGCCUUGUCAAUAUGAUGAACGCAUUGAAAUAUGUAAGUUUCCCAGAUAUUUAUUUGAAGGUAAGCAGGAUUGUUAUGCAGGCUAUGGGUAUGUUCUCCGAAU